rnacentral:rRNA from 1 species
CAACAAACAGCAACGGAUCUCUUGGCUCUCGCAUCGAUGAAGAACGCAGCGAAAUGCGAUAAGUAAUGUGAAUUGCAGAAUUCAGUGAAUCAUCGAAUCUUUGAACGCACCUUGCGCCCCUUGGCUAUUCCGACCCGCAUGCCUGUUUGAGUAUCUUGA